rnacentral:rRNA from 1 species
UACGGAGGGAGCUAGCGUUGUUCGGAAUUACUGGGCGUAAAGCGCACGUAGGCGGCUUUGUAAGUUAGGGGUGAAAGCCUGGAGCUCAACUUCAGAAUUGCCCUUAAGACUGCAUCGCUUGAAUCCAGGAGAGGUGAGUGGAAUUCCGAGUGUAGAGGUGAAAUUCGUAGAUAUUCGGAAGAACACCAGUGGCGAAGGCGGCUCACUGGACUGGUAUUGACGCUGAUGAGCGAAAGCCAGGGGAGCAAACGGG